AUAUCAAGCCCCUCGACAGCAAAGAAGAAAUAAGCAAGCAUCCUCCCUUGGGUAGCCAAGGUUCAUGUCUGCUAACCACAAGCCUGCUAACCAAAUAAUAUUACUAGACAAAGAAAUGUUUCUGCGGAGGAUAAUACACAACAUGGCCAAAGGAUUGAACAGCCCAAGGAGAGAGCACCAUUUGUAUAUUCCGCAUACAAGAUGUAUAAAUAUGCUCUACUUAGUAUGCAACCCAGCACUAAAAACAGCCUUGGUACCAGAGGACUGGAGGGCUGCCAAUGUGAUUCCCAUAUUUAUAAAAGGCUCUGGAGGGGACCCAGAAACUAC